rnacentral:rRNA from 1 species
AACGCUGGCGGCGUGCCUAAUACAUGCAAGUCGAACGGUCUUUCUAUGGAAGCUUGCUCCACUGAGAAGAUAGUGGCGAACGGGUGAGUAACACGUGGGUAACCUGCCCAUAAGAGGGGGAUAACAUCCGGAAACGGGUGCUAAUACCGCAUAGUUUUCUUGAUCGCAUGAUCGGGAAAGGAAAGACGGCCUUUGUGCUGUCGCUUAUGGAUGGACCCGCGGCGUAUUAGUUAGUUGGUGAGGUAACGGCUCACCAAGACGAUGAUACGUAGCCGACCUGAGAGGGUGAUCGGCCACAUUGGGACUGAGACACGGCCCAAACUCCUACGGGGGGCAGCAGUAGGGAAUCUUCCGCAAUGGACGAAAGUCUGACGGAGCAACGCCGCGUGAGUGAAGAAAGGUUUUCGGAUCGUAAAACUCUGUUGUCAGAGAAGAACAAGUUGGAGAGUAACUGCUCCAGCCUUGACGGUAUCUGACCAGAAAGCCACGGCUAACUACGUGCCAGCCGCCGC